ensembl:processed_transcript
GAAACGUUCAAUGAUGAUGUUUUUAUUAUUUAGGGCUGGGCAGUAUGAUGUUACACUACAGCUGAAGUCAAAAUGAUGAGCCCUCCUGUGUAAAUGUGUUGAUUUCAGACAUGACGUGAAGUCCUGCUAAUGAGGAGAGACCAACGAAGCACAAGAUGAUCGAAACGAUGGAUACCCAGCGGUGCCUGCAGGCAGUGGAGAGGCUACAGUCUCGCUUGAAGGAGAAGGGAGCAGAUGUUCCUGCGGAGGAGAAGCUGAAUCUCCUGAAAGCCGUCCUGCAGAGUCCUCUGUUCCUCCAGAUCCUCAGCCUGCAGAAAUCAGUGCAGCAUCUCAAGGAGCACACGCCGUGUGUUAGCUCCGAUCUGAAGAGCAGCAAUGAAGGGUUCUCAGCUCAGCUCAAUGGACAGCCUUCACCUGAAGAGUACAAUCACAUCAUCCGCUCCAUGGCCCAGGGUCGGUACGUGACUCAAAUUGACCUACUGAAACCGGUAUCAGGCGGUUUGGGCUUCAGUGUUGUUGGACUGUGCAGUGAAAAUCGCGGAGAACUUGGCAUCUUCAUUCAGGAGAUUCAGCCUGGAAGUGUGGCAUACAGUGAUGGGAAACUGAAGGAGGGCGAUCAGAUACUGGCGAUUAAUGGUCAUCCACUGGAUCAGAGCGUCAGUCACCAGCAGGCCAUCGCUCUCCUCCAGCGGGCAUCGGAGAGGGUCACCCUGAGCGUGGCCCGCGGGCCAGUACCGCAGCUCUCCAGCCCCGUGGUGUCCAGAACACCCAGCGCCGCCAGCACACUGUCUGCACACUCCAGCGCGACCCACUGGACUCAUGUGGAGACCAUUGAGCUGGUCAAUGAUGGAACCGGACUGGGUUUUGGGAUUGUUGGUGGUAAAACCACUGGAGUUAUUGUGAAAACCAUCCUACCUGGAGGCAUCGCUGAUCAGGAUGGGCGUUUGCGAAGCGGCGAUCACGUCCUGCGCAUUGGGGAUACGGAUCUGUUGGGUCUGAGCAGUGAACAGGUCGCUCACGUCCUCAAACAAUGUGGAAACAGAGUCCGAUUGCUGAUCAGCCGCGGGAUGGCAGACGACGUUUCGGCCGCUCCUGUUUCCCUGCCCACCGUCAAUGAGCAACAGGGUUUUGAGGAAGAGGAGCAGGACGCUUUCGAUGUGAGCUUGACGAAGAAUGCUCAGGGUUUGGGCAUCACCAUUGCUGGAUAUGUAGGAGACAAAACCUCAGAGCCCUCUGGGAUAUUCGUGAAGAGCAUUUCGAGGGACAGCGCCGUGGAGCAGGACGGACGGGUUCAUGUUGGAGAUCAGAUCAUAGCUGUGAGUGGACGGUGUGAACAUCCAGGGUUACACUAACCAGCAGGCUGUGGAGGUUUUGAGACACACUGGUCAAACUGUAAACCUGCAACUGGUGCGCCGCGGCUUUAAGCCAGAGGACGCCUGUCCGUCAAUCAUUCCUGUCGCUGUGGAGACAGAUCCCGCCCACAGCUCAUCCAGAAACUCGACAAUGGAGCGCAUGAACGCAAAACAUGGUGGCUCAGGUGGAGAAGUUCAGUGAGAGCAGUGGUUUAGGGAUCAGUCUGGACGUUUGUGCCGGACAUCAUUACCUGCGCUCCGUGCUUCCAGAGGGACCCGUCGGCCGAUCCGGAAAAAUCUGCAGUGGAGACGAACUGCUGGAGGUGAAUGGUGUUCCCCUCAGAGGAGAGACUCAUAAAGAGGUUGUUGACAUUCUGAAAGAACUUCCUGUUUGUGUGACCAUGGUCUGCUGUAGACCCGCCUCUCUGGUGACUGACAGCCAGACUGACCAACCACAGCUCGAGGACACGCCCUCAAAUGCCAUACCUCAGGUGCCGCUGGAGUUCGAGGAUGUGAUGGUGUGUGGUGAAUUAGCAGACGGUUUGAAGGGUCAUGUGACUGAAGAGCCCAGCGGGACGCCGUUAGCCAUGUGGGAGACAGAGAUCCAGGACAUCCAGCUGGAGAAAGGAGAGAGCGGCCUGGGAUUCAGCAUUCUGGAUUAUCAGGACCCGCUGGACCCUCUAAAGACAGUGAUAGUGAUCCGCUCAUUGGUUCCGGAUGGCGUGGCAGAGCGGGACGGUCGUCUGCUACCCGGAGACCGUCUGAUGUUCGUCAACAGCAUCGACCUGCAGAGCGGCAGUCUGGAGGAGGCAGUGCAGGCACUGAAGGGGGCACCCAUGGGCAGCGUCCGCAUCGGAGUGGCCAAACCCCUGCCUGAAGAGGAUUUUCUUCCAGAUCAGACAGCGGAUGAGAGCCAGCAGAUAAACGGCACCGCGGGCUUCCAGAGGACCAUCACUGUGGUCAAGGGCAAUGCCAGCCUGGGAAUGACGGUGUGCGCGCUGAAGGACGGUCCAGGGAUGUUGAUCCGCAGCAUCAUUCACGGCGGCUCCAUCAGUCGGGACGGCCGGCUGCGGGUCGGGGAUCUGAUUCUAGCCAUUAAUGGAGAGCUGACGGGGAAUCUGACCAAUGCACAGGCCAGAGCCAUGCUGCGCAGACACUCUCUGAUCGCAUCGGACAUGGGAUCCACAGGUGCAGCAGGUGAAGAGCUCAGCCUCAUCUCUGUGAUCACGUAUGUUCCUGCAGAAUAUUUAGAGGAAUACCGAGCAAGCGUGCAGCCCCAGAGUGACGAUAUCUCUGAUGGAAAAAGCGGCUCUCAACUUCAGACACUGUCAGAUCUUCCAGAGAGAGAGGAUGGAGAAGGACAGGAGAGCGAACGACAAGCCAACAACUGGAAUCUGCCUCGCAGAGUUGAGCUGCUCAAGGAAGCUGGGAAAUCUCUGGGCAUCAGUAUUGUUGGUGGGCGGGGCAUGGGCUGUCGCCUUAGCAACGGGGAAGUGAUGCGGGGCAUCUUCAUUAAACACAUCUUGGAGGACAGUCCUGCAGGACGCAACGGCACUCUAAAGACUGGAGACAGGAUUGUAGAGGUGGGAGGAGUGGACCUGCGUGAUGCCAGUCAUGAGCAGGCGGUGGAGGCCAUCCGUAACGCU